AAGGCUUUAAGUUAAAACUAAACUAAUAACCUUCAAAGCUAUAAAUAAAGAAUCUCUUUAAGUCUUA
rnacentral:tRNA from 1 species